AGUGAACGCUGGCGGUAGGCCUAACACAUGCAAGUCGAACGGCAGCACAGUAAGAGCUUGCUCUUACGGGUGGCGAGUGGCGGACGGGUGAGGAAUACAUCGGAAUCUACUUUUUCGUGGGGGAUAACGUAGGGAAACUUACGCUAAUACCGCAUACGACCUACGGGGGAAAGCAGGGGAUCUUCGGACCUUGCGCGAUUGAAUGAGCCGAUGUCGGAUUAGCUAGUUGGCGGGGUAAAGGCCCACCAAGGCGACGAUCCGUAGCUGGUCUGAGAGGAUGGUCAGCCGCACUGGAACUGAGACACGGUCCAGACUCCUACGGGAGGCAGCAGUGGGGAAUGUUGGACAAUGGGCGGAAGCCUGAUCCAGCCAUACCGCGUGGGUGAAGAAGGCCUUCGGGUUGUAAAGCCCUUUUGUUGGGAAAGAAAAGCAGCAGGUUAAUACCCAGCUGUUGUGACGGUACCCAAAGAAUAAGCACCGGCUAACUUCGUG
rnacentral:rRNA from 1 species